rnacentral:rRNA from 1 species
CUACGGGGGGCUCCAGUGGGGAAUAUUGCACAAUGGGCGCAAGCCUGAUGCAGCCAUGCCGCGUGUAUGAAGAAGGCCUUCGGGUUGUAAAGUACUUUCAGCGGGGAGGAAGGGAGUAAAGUUAAUACCUUUGCUCAUUGACGUUACCCGCAGAAGAAGCACCGGCUAACUCCGUGCCAGCAGCCGCGGUAAUACGGAGGGUACAAGCGUUAAUCGGAAUUACUGGGCGUAAAGCGCACGCAGGCGGUUUGUUAAGUCAGAUGUGAAAUCCCCGGGCUCAACCUGGGAACUGCAUCUGAUACUGGCAAGCUUGAGUCUCGUAGAGGGGGGUAGAAUUCCAGGUGUAGCGGUGAUAUGCGUAGAGAUCUGGAGGAAUACCGGUGGCGAAGGCGGCCCCCUGGACGAAGACUGACGCUCAGGUGCGAAAGCGUGGGGAGCAAACAGGAUUAAAUACCCGAGUAGUC